GAGAAUAUAGCUUAAAUGGUAAAGUUUUAAACUUUUAAUUUACAUGAUUUGGGUUCGAAUCCCAAUAUUCUCA
rnacentral:tRNA from 1 species